UACCUACGGGAGGCAGCAGUCGAGAAUCAUUCACAAUGGGGGAAACCCUGAUGGAGCGACGCCGCGUGGGGGAAUGAAGGUCUUCGGAUUGUAAACCCCUGUCAUGUGGGAGCAAAUUAAAAAGAUAGUACCACAAGAGGAAGAGACGGCUAACUCUGUGCCAGCAGCCGCGGUAAUACAGAGGUCUCAAGCGUUGUUCGGAAUCACUGGGCGUAAAGCGUGCGUAGGCUGUUUCGUAAGGCGUGUGGGAGAGGCGCGGGCUGAACCCGCGGAGGGCACAUGAUACUGCGAGAC
rnacentral:rRNA from 1 species